GGAGGGGGCAAGCGUUUAUUCGGAAUUAUUGGGCGUAAAGGGCGCGCAGGCGGCUUGGCAAGUCAAAGGUGAAAUCCCUCGGCCCAACCGAGGAACUGCCUUUGAAACUGCCUGGCUUGAGGCCGGGAGAGGGUAGUGGAAUUCCCAGUGUAGCGGUGAAAUGCGUAGAUAUUGGGAGGAACACCAGUGGCGAAGGCGGCUACCUGGACCGGUUCUGACGCUGAGGCGCGAAAGCGUGGGGAGCAAACAGGAUUAGAUACCCUGGGUAGUCCACGCUGUAAACGAUGGGUACUCGGUGCUGCGGGUAUCGACCCCCCUGCAGUGCCUUAGCUAACGCGUUAAGUACCCCGCCUGGGGAGUACGGUCGCAAGGCUG
rnacentral:rRNA from 1 species